rnacentral:lncRNA from 1 species
UGGCAGCGGUGGGCGUGGGGGACAAAGCGCGUCCCCUCUGCUCUGAGCUCAGGCAGCCCGUGCUGCUCCGGCAGCUUGCAUGGGAAGAGGGAGGUGUGAGGGGAUUGCCGCUGGCGGCACAGUGGUGCGGCUGCAGGUCGGCUGGCAGGAGGCAGGGAUGGAGCAAACAAAGGGUUUUGGUGCGUGGGGGGCAGGAGGGAGCAGCCCGUGUUUGUUCCAGCCGAAGGUUUGUGUCCUUGGGCUCGUGUUGCAGGAGAGCGGGCAUCCACUGCUCAUGCUCUGCUGGGGGAGAUCUGGUCGGUGAGAGGAAGGCGGUGCUGCUCACUUAGGUCCGAAGAAAAUGUAAGGAUGCUCUGUGUGCUGCCUGCCGAUGACUUUUGGCCAGACAGGCCAGCAAAUUUGCACAAAUUUGGCUUUCUUAAUAACCGGAGCUCAUGGCAUGCAGGAGGCAUGCAGCAGCCUCUUUCGUUCCAGCUGACAAACCCAGCGACAACGCAGCAUCCUCAGCCGGGUGAAUACCUUCUCAUGCCUACACUGAAUUUCAAUUUUAAUAUCAAAACUAAAGACUCACAUAUGGUUUGAGCUGCUAGAUGCAUUAAUUUCACGCUUCUGCUCCUGACACUUGAGAGGCACAGGAUUUUGCUAAGCUGUUUAACUGCAACACAUUUUUCAGCAGGCAGUAUUUUACAAGCUAUAGAAAUGCCUAAAAAGGCUCCAGUGGAUGCCAGCAGUCCCAAAAGCCUGAAGCAAGCAUGUAUAUGCUGAAAGUGGGACUACAUUGAAUUACAAAUUAUAAAUCAUGAAAUCAAGAUCCAAAACAGCACACGCUGCAGUGGUGUGUUCUUUCCAAGUAGUGAAAUAGCGCCAUUAGCAAUGGAGGACUGCAUUAGUGCAGAAUGCAAAUGAAGUUGAUGCUACCAGGUACGGACUGUGAACCCAUGACUAAGGCACUUGCAUUGAGGACGGUCUUUACUUGCAAGAUGGAUGUGAAGCCAGGGCAACUCAAAGAGCAAAGACUUUGAUUCCAUUACAGAGUGAGUGAGGAUGAACAAGCAAGACCAGAUGCAGCGAUAAGACAGUAGCUUUGUUUCCCCAAACACAGUGAGGAGGCAGAUGUCUACUUGGCAUCCAUCUGGGAAAGCCUGACCUCCCUGAAUUCCUCUGCAUUGACACUUAGCCACACUCCCACCACCCAUGUUCCCCUAAAGCCAACACAACCAGAACAACCUCCACCGCAAGCCUCUACAAUUCUUCUAACUGUGGUGGGGUGGACAGACAGCCCCCUCUGCCCAGCACAAGGGGGUGAGGAGCAGCUCUGGAGAAGCACUUUGAAGAUCCCUGAGCAGACCCUGCUGCUGAAGGAACACCCCAGCUGGGCUGAGGACCUGGCUCAACCCCUUCUCUGUUCACUGCAACACAAAAUCACGUAAGGAUAACACAGCCAACCAAGGCAAAACAAAGCAAAGCAAAACACACCCAGUGAGAGGCCACAGCAGCCUGCUGGCAGUUGUUAUGCAGUUAAUUUUCUUUCACUUUUAAUAAGUUGAUGUUUUAUUGAUUUUUCUUGCACUUGGUUUGUUGUUCCGAAUGUUUGCGUACUGGCUGUGCGCUUACCUCACAGGCAAAUCACUCUAAGAGAUAACUAGCUGCAAGAGUACAUGGACAAUGACUUCCCAUCAAGGAAUGCUGUUUAGAUGUUAAUGUCUUUGCUGAAAUGUUUCUUUCCUAAGUGAUUCAUGCUAUUUCUCUCACUGCUUACACUGAGUGUAUGCAUUUUUGGCUGCCUUAACACUGUAGGGUUUAGAACUAUGCUGUGUCUUUAAAAAUAAUUUACAAAGAUUGGCCAUUUCCAUGUAACAAAAUGAAGAAGAGGCAAUAAAGCUAAGCACUGGGUUUUAUUUUUCA